CGCAUCUGUGCAUGCAGCAUAUCAAUAAGCGGAGGAAAAGAAACUAACAAGGAUUCCCUCAGUAACGGCGAGUGAAGCGGGAAGAGCUCAAAUUUGAAAUCUUGAAAGGUCACCUUUCACGAAUUGUAGUUUAAAGAAGUGUUUUCUGUUACGAUCGUAAUAUAAGUUCUUUGGAAUAGGACAUCACAGAGGGUGAGAAUCCCGUCUAUGAUUGCGAUUUGUAGCUUUGUGAUACACUUUCAAGGAGUCGGGUUGUUUGGGAAUGCAGCCCAAAACGGGAGGUAAAUUUCUUCUAAGGCUAAAUAUUGGCGAAGAGACCGAUAGCGAACAAGUACCGUGAGGGAAAGAUGAGAAGAACUUUGAAAAGAGAGUUAAAUAGUACGUGAAAUUGUCAAAAGGGAAGCGUUUAACACCAGUGUUGUUUUCUGAAAAUCAACCUCUGUUAGCUUUAUGCAUGUUUGUUUAGACCUAAUCAGCUAUCUUGCAUGUUCUAUUGUUUGCAGUGGUGCACUUUUCAGUUUACAGGUCAACAUCAGUUUUUUUUACCGUAAAAAAGUUAAAGAAAGGUAGCUCAUGGCUCCGGUCGCGAGUGUUAUAGUCUUUUUCCUAUGCGGUAGGAGAGACUGAGGUCUGCAGUGUAGGCUAUUUGGCUAGAUACUCAGGUGCUAUGUGAUACCAUUUCACUAAACAACUUGUUGACUAUGUUUUGUCUAUUGCAUACUCGCUUGUACUAUCAUACCUACGCUUAGGAUGUUGACGAUCAGCUGAGCGCG
rnacentral:rRNA from 1 species